GACGAACGCUGGCGGUGUGCUUAACACAUGCAAGUCGAACGGUAAGGCCCUUUCGGGGGUACACGAGUGGCGAACGGGUGAGUAACACGUGAGUAACCUGCCCUCAUCUCUGGGAUAACAGUCGGAAACGGGUGCUAAUACUGGAUAUGAGCUUGCAAGGCAUCUUGUGGGUUGGAAAGAUUUUUUUUGGUUGGGGAUGGACUCGCGGCCUAUCAGCUUGUUGGUGAGGUAGUGGCUCACCAAGGCUUCGACGGGUAGCCGGCCUGAGAGGGCGACCGGCCACAUUGGGCCUCUGAUACGGCCCACACUCCUACGGGGGGCAGCAGUGGGGAAUAUUGCACAAUGGACGGAAGUCUGAGGCAGCAACGCCGCGUGCGGGAUGACGGCCUUCGGGUUGUAAACCGCUUUCAAUUGUGACGAAGCGUUUUUGUGACGGUAGCAGUAGAAGAAGCACCGGCUAACUACGUG
rnacentral:rRNA from 1 species